rnacentral:rRNA from 1 species
AUUGAACGCUGGCGGCAGGCCUAACACAUGCAAGUCGAACGAGUGGCGGACGGGUGAGUAAUGUCUGGGAAACUGCCUGAUGGAGGGGGAUAAAUACUGGAAACGGUAGCUAAUACCGCAUACCAUCAGAUGUGCCCAGAUGGGAUUAGCUAGUUGGUGGGGUAACGGCUCACCAAGGCGACGAUCACUAGCUGGUCUGAGAGGAUGAACUGCAACACUGGAACUGAGACCCGGGCCAGACUCCUACGGGAGGAAGCAGUGGGGAAUAUUGCACAAUGGGGUCAAUCCUGAUGCAGCCAUGCCGCGUGUAUGAAGAAGGCCUUCGGGUUGUAAAGUACUUUCAGCGGGGAGGCGUUACCCGCAGAAGAAGCACCGGCUAACUCCGUGCCAGCAGCCGCGGUAAUUC